rnacentral:misc_RNA from 1 species
GAGCUCGUCAAAACCGCGAAAACUGUUGCAUCUCCUGGUCGUGGAAUUUUGGCGAUGGAUGAGUCGAAUGCUACCUGUGGGAAGCGUUUAGAUUCAAUCGGACUAGAGAACACGGAAGCUAAUCGCCAAGCAUACAGGACCCUUCUUGUUUCAGCUCCAGGACUUGGUAACUACAUUUCAGGUGCCAUCCUUUUUGAGGAGACACUUUACCAGUCCACUGUUGAUGGAAAGAAAAUUGUUGAUGUACUUCUUGAACAGAACAUUGUUCCUGGAAUUAAGGUUGACAAGGGUUUAGUUCCUUUGGCUGGUUCAAACAAUGAAUCUUGGUGCCAAGGUCUU